CUCAGUGAUACCUGUGUUCAGUGAUCAGAGCUGCUUAGAUCAGUUACACACAUUUAUAGUUUUGUGCCUAUCAAGCAGUGAAGGGUAAAAGUAAAAAAUGACAAAUUUGGAUUUGCAUGUAUUCCAUGUAUGGUGUCGUGUCCGUCGGGUAUUUACUGUAAUAGCUCGACUUGUCGUUUGGCAUUGGUCCACAGGCGUGAUGGCCCUGGAUUAGCUGCGGGGGAGAGUCCACAUGCCUCUGGUAUAAAGUUGCAGCAGCAACAGCAUUUUUAUUAAUAACCCAUAUCAAAGAAGUGAGUGCACGAGCUCAUGAUCUUGAUUUCCAUCGCAAGAGUCUGUUGACAGAAGUAGCAGCUUGCACCAAAUGUGAACUCACAGACCUGAUGUUGUAUUCUCUCUUUUCAAAAUCACGAUGUUGUGACGUGAAGAUGAUUCGCGUCUAUCGGUCCUGUACCUGGAAAAACUCCUAUGUUUUCUUUAGAAAUUCUUGACAGACUAAAAAAGGGCAAGAGUGAAACAAGGAGCCCAACCCCGUAUAGAAGGUGGCAGCGUUUAAUUAUAGCUCCUUCAUCUCAGACAUUUUCCUAUAGGAAACUGUAUCUGUUUCGGCAGAGGUGUGAAUCUUGACAGAAUAGCAAGACAAAUGCACAGAAGAUCCUAUAAGCCUGAGGGAAUGUCUCAUGAACAGCUGUUGCCAGUCUAGAGGUAAAGACGCAUACAAAUAUAGACCAUGACUGAGACUCAUUCUUCAGUUUUCUUCUUCUAGAAAAACUUUCGACAUGUUUCUGCUCUGUGUGUUAUUGCUUUGUCAUAACUGAACACAAACACAGAUGAUAGAUAGACACGUACUGUAUAGAUAAUAACGGGAUGAUGAUUAGCACAUAUACAGCCACCUGACAGGGCACUUUAAAUGAUAUCAAUGAUAGCAAUUGUGAUGUUUUGAAUGUAAAUUCUAAAAAAUGACUAAACAGCUUCGUUAUUAUUCUACUGCGAUGAGAUGAAUGUGGUAUGUGGUGCUAAAAAUUCAGAUGAUGGCCUUCUUUAAAAUGACCUUCACAUUGCUCAACAGCUUUACUUACAUCCAUCAAAGUCACUGCAGGACUUUCUUACCACUGUUACAGAUUAAAAACAUUUCAAUUUAUUAAUAUUACUGAUAUUAUAUUGUUUUAUUCAAGUUUAGAUUUACUAAUUCGCUUUCAUAUAUUGUGUUUUUGAAUAUUGUUUCCAUGUCAGAAUUAUGACCGAAGGCUCUAAAGACUUUUACGAUCAUUUAAGGAGGCAUUACACAACAAAAUGAGAAAAUUAAAAAACGAAACAGAAUUAAAGUGAUUCUCCAGCCAAAUAUCAAUCGAUUUUGUAAGAAGUUUUGAACCUGACAAAUCAAUAUGCACUAUACACCAGAUAUCAUGUGACCAUUACUAUUCUGGACUCUGGUUUCUCCUCGUGAUUUUUGUGAUGUAAAAAUUUGUGCCAUUUGUAUUAUUUGGCUUUAACCUCUGAAAUGAAGCUGAAGAUGCUGAUGGAUGUUGUAACUGGACCAUCUGGAUCAAACAGACAGCAUCAUUCUGGCAUCUGACAGCCACUUUAAAGGUGUUUUCUGAAAAGAAUUAAUUUUUGUAGGAAAUAUACACUAUAUCUCAUUCAUCUAUACAGUAGAUGUUCUAGCAGUGCCUCAUUUGUUUUCGGAGGUCUCUAUCUUAUCUCCUUCUGCAUGUGAGAGAGCCAGUGAAGACUGUUAGCGCCUCAUAGCUGCUAAGACAGGGUAAAUACAAACAUUUCAAUACAAAUGUUUCAUGCACAAAACUCUACAGGUGAGAAAAUGUCAACAUUACAUGAAGAAAUGUAUAUUUAGGUCUGUCUUGAAUUUUCAGGUUGGUGAAGUAUUAUUAAUAAGCAACAGAAAGGCAAUCAGAAGGAAUCUGCCUCAUGUAAACAGCAACAAGCAGAAAUCGAUUCACAUCUUAAUGCCUUUAGGUUUCUUCUCAUGAAAGCAAGAAUAUGAAAACAAAUUAGCACAUUCCCUUAGAAAACUAUGAAAGCAAAUGCUGAAUGUAAAUGAAUGCUUAUAAUGCAUUAGGCCACAUUAAGAAUACGCCUUAAUUGAAACUUUGCUUGUUGCAUUCAGAUUCUGUGCACAUCUCCCUCAUUUGCCUGUUUUAUUAAUAAGGCAGACAUCUCAUUUGGUAUCUGCUUGUUUACAUCACUAUAAACUCAAUAAUGUAAACUAUAUAAUAUUCUUCUCUAUAAACAUUACAGCUUUAUUCUCAUAGCACUGACUUUAUUCGUCAAAUAUUUUAUUCUUGUUAUAUUGACUUAAUCCUCACAAUAUUACGACUUUAUUCCUGUAAUCUUAUUUAUUUUGACAUUUUUUCUGAAAAAACUAUUAGUUUAAUCUCGCAUUAUAAUGACUUUAAUCUCGAGACGUUUUUUUAUUUUUUAUUUUAGCUUGGCUUUAAUCCUCAGCAUGUGUACACUUAAAAUGAGUAUAUUGUGAUCCCACUUGCCGUGACCAUAUUUGAGUUUCUGUGCACUCGUGUUUGCGUACCUACCUUGCUUCUUCACCACUCUGCAUGUUUUAUUCCUCAGUAGAUUUCACUUAACAUAUAAUUUCACAUUAUUUACAGGUACGGCAGUGAUUAUAAUUCCACCUGGGAUGUGGGGUAAAUUUUCUUUACAAAAGCAGUUUCCUUUGCAAUGCUUGUGUCUUUAUGUUUUCAGCGUGCAGGUGUGUUGUGAGUUAUCUUGUCACUCUUUGGUUUACCCAGAUGGAAUAAACGAGGAUGUAAUCAAGAAUCUUGGUAUCGGGUCUAUCUUCAUUCUGUCUGUCUUGUAACUAAAGAGUCUUUAGUUAUUCUGCACCCCAGCUCACAGCUCUGUACUGCCGGUUCAAGUUGUAUUGUUUUGUAACUAUUUGAUUAAAAUUUAUUUGUUAUUAUUGUUGUUCAGUAACCUUGAUUGUUUAAAAAGGCACCUUUAAAUAAAAUGUAUUGUUAUUACCAUUAUUAUUAAAGAAUGUAUGCUUUCA